rnacentral:rRNA from 1 species
AUUGAACGCUGGCGGCAGGCCUAACACAUGCAAGUCGAGCGGAGCGGCGGACGGGUGAGUAAUGCCUAGGAAUCUGCCUGGUAGUGGGGGAUAACGUCCGGAUACGGGCGCUAACACCGAAUACUAUCAGUUCAGCCUAGGUCGGAUUAGCUAGUUGGUGGGGUAAAGGCCUACCAAGGCGACGAUCGGUAACUGGUCUGAGAGGAUGAUCAGUCACACUGGAACUGAGACACGGUCCAGACUCCUACGGGAGGCAGCAGUGGGGAAUAUUGGACAAUGGGCGAAAGCCUGAUCCAGCCAUGCCGCGUGUGUGAAGAAGGUCUUCGGAUUGUAAAGCACUUUAAGUUGGGAGGCGUUACCAACAGAAUAAGCACCGGCUAACUUCGUGCCAGCAGCCGCGGUAAUUC